AUGAACGCUGGCGGCGUGCCUAAUACAUGCAAGUCGAGCGAACAGAUGAGGAGCUUGCUCCUCUGACGUUAGCGGCGGACGGGUGAGUAACACGUGGAUAACCUACCUAUAAGACUGGGAUAACUUCGGGAAACCGGAGCUAAUACCGGAUAAUAUAUUGAACCGCAUGGUUCAAUAGUGAAAGACGGUUUUGCUGUCACUUAUAGAUGGAUCCGCGCCGCAUUAGCUAGUUGGUAAGGUAACGGCUUACCAAGGCAACGAUGCGUAGCCGACCUGAGAGGGUGAUCGGCCACACGGGAACUGAGACACGGUCCAGACUCCUACGGGAGGCAGCAGUAGGGAAUCUUCCGCAAUGGGCGAAAGCCUGACGGAGCAGCGCCGCGUGAGUGAUGAAGGUCUUCGGAUCGUAAAACUCUGUUAUUAGGGAAGAACAAAUGUGUAAGUAACUAUGCACGUCUUGACGGUACCUAAUCAGAAAGCCACGGCUAACUACGUG
rnacentral:rRNA from 1 species